UUCCAUGUAAUUGCCUUCUAGAGUCGAUUCAAGAAUGAAAUUGAAUUGCAGACACAAAAAGGUAAACACUUUAGGCGAUCUGGGACCUUCAACUUGUUCUUUUAGCUGUUCAAGGUAAAUGGCAGCAGUAGGAGAGCCUUUUCUUUCUUCUGUUUUCCGGGGAGCUCUUCAAAAGUUGGAUUCACCGAUCUUGAGAAAAUUCAAGUCUUUAGCUGGUAUCGAUAAGGAUCUCAGGAAAUUGAACAGAACCCUAUCAAAAAUCCAAUUUGUGCUGAAUGAUGCUGAGGCCAAGCAGAUCAGUAACUGGGCAGUCAAAGAUUUGAUUGAUGAACUCAAAGACUUGGCCUUUGAUGUAGAUGAUGUGCUAGAUGAGGUUGCAACAGAAGCUUUUCGCUUUAAUCAGAAGAAAAAGGUUACCAGCUCUGAAUCUCAAUCAGAAUCUUAUUUUCCAUUAGUUCAUAAGAUAGAGGAUAUCAAUGGGAAGUUAGAUGAAAUUGCAAAAGAAGGGGAUGAGCUUGGUUUGAAAGGAGGAGUUCAGGUAGCGUCUACAGAAUUGAGGGACAGCAAGAGACUAUCUAGCUCGUUGAUCGAUGAAUCUGAGGUUUUUGGUAGGGAUGAUGACAAGAAGAAGAUAAUAAAAUUGUUACGCACAUCCAAACUUAGUACCAAUUGGAAGGGACAUUGUGAAGAAAUGCAAAGUUUUGCCUUUGGCGGCACGGACACUUGGAGGACUCUUGCACGCAAAAACUAUAAUCUAUGGUUGGGAGUUGAUUUUGGAAAGUGAUAUAUGAGAGUUGGAAGAUGAGAAAGAUGGAAUUUUACCAGCUCUGAGGCUAAUCUACAAUCAUCUUCUAGCACAUCUUAAACAGUGUUUCAUGUACUGCUCAAUAUUUCCAAAAGAUUACAAUUUCAAUAAGGAAAAUUUUGUCUUGCUGUGGAUGGCAGAGGAGUUUGUUCCUCCUAGGGGAAGGAAGCGUUUGGAAGACAUUGCAUCUGACUAUUUUGAAGAUUUGUUGUUGAGGUCAUUCUUUCAAAAAUCCAAAACCAUUCUGUCAAAGUUUGUCAUGCAUGACUUGAUUCAUGACCUGGCGCA
rnacentral:misc_RNA from 1 species